CCUACGGGUGGCUGCAGUGAGGAAUAUUGGUCAAUGGGUGCGAGCCUGAACCAGCCAAGUCGCGUGAGGGAGGACGGCCCUACGGGUUGUAAACCUCUUUUGCCGGGGAGCAACGGGCGUCACGUGUGGCGCCCCUGAUAGUACCCGGAGAAAAAGCAUCGGCUAACUCCGUGCCAGCAGCCGCGGUAAUACGGAGGAUGCGAGCGUUAUCCGGCUUUAUUGGGUUUAACGGGUGCGUAGGCGGAUCGUUAAGUCAGUGGUCAAAUUGAGGGGCUCAACCCCUUCCCGCCAUUGAAACUGGCGUUCUUGUGUGGAAGAGAAGUAUGCGGAAUGCGUGGUGUAGCGGUGAAAUGCAUAGAUAUCACGCAGAACCCCGAUUGCGAAGGCAGCAUGCCGGCUUCCGACUGACGCUGAAGCACGAAAGCGUGGGGAUCGAACAGGAUUAGAUACCCGGGUAGUC
rnacentral:rRNA from 1 species